UACAUGUUACACUAUAAAUAUAAAAAAAAAAUAUUCAAACCUUACUUCUUAAUUUUUAGCAACUUGAAACUUAAGAAAAUAAAGAUAAAUAAAGAAAAAUAAAGAAGCUAUCGUUGCAAUGUUCAGCUUUAUCGACGGAAUCUCCCAAAUACACGAUACAAAAUUCACUUUCGAUUGCAUUAUUCCUUAAGGUGUCGCUUUGAAGCACGAAGUCGAAUAACAAAUAUCGAAACAUCUGUAUCGAUCUGUACCAGUAACAGAAAUCGAUGCAUCUUUUCGCGGCCAGAUGAAAAUAAUUUGAGUGCUACCAGCUCGAAUAUCGAAAGCGAGGCAUCAACUCGCCAUGGACAUCGCGUGAUCUGUACGAAGAUGAAAAAGAGAAGCAGAAAAGACUCAUGGCAGGCCGAUCGCAUUAUUCAGAUUAGGGCAUCGACUGAGCCACGCGAGUAUGCGAGUACACGCGUUUCUUUGUAUGCGUAUGCACGUGAAGUGACGGCGCGUCCCGUCUCAUACCGUAGCGGGUCCCGGCGCCCCAGCGUCCGAGCAGAAAAAGGCACAAUAAGACCGAUAGAACUGAAAAACCAAGAGAUUCACGUUGCCGUGUUGGAGGAAGGAAAGAGAGAUGCUUCUUUAAAUCCCAUCAUAAAGACACAUAGCCAGAGGCUCUCAACAUUCUUCAAAAAUGACGUUUUUAUCAUAUUUUUCAAUUUUAUGUUUGAAUGAAGACUACUGUAUCAAUGCAGCGUUAGAAAAACUAAGGCUUACGUCUUGGCCCAAUGGAACAAGAAAUAAGAGGCGCCAGCCAAAGUUACAGCUUCGUAAUGAUGUAGUUAUCUUGAUUUAACAUACCUCACAAUCUUGUCCGUUAGUACACGCUUAACUUGCUUUACUAGUACGAGCUUUGCCGUUCUUGGCAUAGCUUAGUCCAUCUAUAUUUCCUUUACUGCUAAUAAUAAUGAUAGGAUGAGAAGGAAAGAAAAAGACCAUUAACUGAAUAAAAAGAAAUAUGGAUGAAUGGAAAUAGAAAAAAAGGAAAAUAGAAGUAGAAACAGGUAUCUUAAACAAUUCUUAAUGAUUAUCUAUACCUAUAAGAUCAAAAUGAACCAAAUUAUUCAUCACGCCUAAUAUUUAAAACAAAUAAAAUAAUACUAUCGUUGUUCUUAGAUAAACAGAUAUCGAUUAUCAAUCGCUGAAAUACCUGCUCGAUUAAUAGUUAAUAGCGAUUCAUCAAUCUUCGACGAAGAAGAACGUAUACCCUCACACGUAUAUAAGCACGUACAUAUACAUGGUACAAACACAGAUGGAACUGGUAUGCUCCACAUACUGAUUUUAAACGAAUCUUACGAAGAAUUCGAAAUGCCAACUUAGCUUUGACCAUCUCACACUAUCUUAAUGCUUUUAUAUCCUCUAAACUGCUACUGGCUGCUGCUGUCUCCUUUAUCAUCCUCUUUCUUCCUUUCAGUCGUUCUUCUUUCACGACAAGAAAACGAGGAGUUCGCGUGCGUGUCUUGAAGCUAUGCAACGGGGAGAGAGAUCCAGGGAAGCUGGUAGAAGAGAUAAACCAAUACCGAGGCCGGUAGCGAGCAAUGCGUGACACGUUGAACCGUGUGUAUACGUGUGUGUUGGCGCCAGGCCGCAUUCUCGCAUUCGUUAACCAACACAUCGCGUUGCUCUCUCUCCUUGCAGCUCGUGCCUUGUUUUCCCUCGCCUCCCUUCUUCCCUCCCCCCUACCUCCACCUUCUCGUACACCACCACUCCACUACCCCUUCCUCCUCUAACCCUUUCAAUAUUAGGAGCGGUCACGGAUCCCAAAUUUGCCAUCCGUGGGGAGGCGGGACACCGAUUUGUCCUCGUCCCGUUUGUACGCUACCGGUGGUGGUACCGUGGCAAGAUGACCGGUUUCCAUCGUGGUGUACAUCGUGGCCGCCAAUCGUGUUUUGGAAUAAAGCGGUUCUCCUAAAGAGGAGGCUAUAUAUCCAGCUAUCGAAAUUUAUUGUCGAUCGACGAUUAUCAAUCGCGAUAUCAUUUCAUCCUUGAAACCCGAUGACGCAUGUUUGUCAACUAACGAAGACUAGUUAAUAAAACAAGAACUGUCUUUCAGCUCUUCAUCGUAUAUAUUUUAUGCAUAACUUCUUCUUCCAGUAUUUUCUCGUUUAUCUUUGUGGUCAAGGCAAGUUCCAUACUGUGGAAUAGUGUGUGUGUGUGUUUGACAGAUAGAGCGACGACGAUAUAUUCAUGGAACGUGUUAAUGAUGCAAGUGAGGCCCAGAAAAAUAGGCCCAGAAGUUCCCUUCUUCUUCUUCUUCUCUCAUCGAAGAAAAUCGCAAAUGAUACAUCGUGUCAAUGGAAUUCAUAGAAAACCGGUCGGUGAAAAUACGGGAGGCACGCGGGCCGUCAGAUAUUUACUGUCGCUUCAAUGAUCCACGAAGAGAUGUCUGAUCGUUGAGGUCGGUAAUUAAUCCGUAUUGGUUUACAAUGAACGAAAGAUAGCAUUGAAAGAUCAUUUAUAAAUCAAUACUGCUUGUAAUUCAAUAAACGAACAGUAUGAAUUUCGAU